GGUGGCUCAGUGGUAAAGCACUUGCCUUGCAUGCAUGAAGCCCUGGGUUCGAUUCCUCAGCACCA
rfam:Dipodomys ordii contig_81161, whole genome shotgun sequence.